GAUGAACGCUGGCGGCGUGCCUAAUACAUGCAAGUCGAGCGAACGGACGCGAAGCUUGCUUCUUUGAUGUUAGCGGCGGACGUGUGUGUAACACGUGGAUACCCUACCUAUCAGACUGGGAUCACUUCGGGAAACCGGCGCUAAUCCCGGAUGAUCUUUUGCUCCGCAUGGUUCAAAAGUGAAAGACGGUCUUUCUGUCACUUAUAGCUGGAUCCGCGCUGCAUUAGCUGGUUGGUAAGGUAACGGCUUACCAAGGCAACGAUGCAUAGCCGACCUGAGAGGGGGAUCGGCGACACUAGAGCGGAGACACGGUCAAGACUACUACGAGAGGCAGCAGAAGGGAAUCGGCCGCAAUGGGCGAAAGCAUGACAGAGCAACGCCGCGUGAGAGAUGAAGGUCUUCGGAGCGUAAAACUCUGUUAUGAGGGAAGAACAGAUGUGUAAGGAACUGUGCACAGCGUGACGGUACCUAAUCAGAAAGCCACGGCUAACUACGUG
rnacentral:rRNA from 1 species